rnacentral:rRNA from 1 species
UACGAAGGGGGCUAGCGUUGCUCGGAAUCACUGGGCGUAAAGCGCACGUAGGCGGCUUCUUAAGUCAGGGGUGAAAUCCUGGAGCUCAACUCCAGAACUGCCCUUGAUACUGAGGAGCUCGAGUCCGGAAGAGGUGAGUGGAACUGCGAGUGUAGAGGUGAAAUUCGUAGAUAUUCGCAAGAACACCAGUGGCGAAGGCGGCCAACUGGUCCGGUACUGACGCUGAGGUGCGAAAGCGUGGGGAGCAAACAGG